rnacentral:rRNA from 1 species
CAGUAGCCGCGGUAAUACGAAGGGGGCUAGCGUUGUUCGGAUUUACUGGGCGUAAAGCGCACGUAGGCGGAUCCUUAAGUCAGAGGUGAAAUCCCAAGGCUCAACCUUGGAACUGCCUUUGAUACUGGGGAUCUCGAGUUCGGGAGAGGUGAGUGGAACUGCGAGUGUAGAGGUGAAAUUCGUAGAUAUUCGCAAGAACACCAGUGGCGAAGGCGGCUCACUGGCCCGAUACUGACGCUGAGGUGCGAAAGCGUGGGGAGCAAACAGGAUUAGAUACCCCAGUAGUCCCUGUCUCUUAUAA